GAGCUUGCACCAGUUUCUUCUGACCGUUUAUUGGGUUUUGUUUGUUGUUGUAUUCUUUCUCCAUUAGACUUAAGCCAUGUCGUAGCAUCAAUUUGCAGAAAAUUCCACUUGGAAGAUGAAGAGAUCAAUUGCAAGGAUGAAAAAGAAUUCCCUCGCCUCAUGAAAUUGAGUACAGAUCAUGUUUUUGUAUGGUAUGAUCCAAUGGAAAGCAUAGUCAAGGGAACACAAAGAAGGCGAUUUGAUAAGGGCACCACUUGUAAGUUUGCAUGUGAAUUCUUCAUUGAAAUUCUCUUCCGUUCUGGGCGAAAAAAAUAUGAUCACUUGAUAAAGGCGUGCGGAAUUUGGCCAAUAUAUGCGUCCAAAUUACAAGAGGAAGGUCUACAAAUGGAAUUAAAGUUGGAGAAGGGCAUUGUUACAGGCAAUAAUAUCACUGGCCCAGAUGAGAACCCAAAUGCUGAAGUGGCACUGUUACAUCAGCCAUUACCUGAUUCCGUUAGUAGAAGCACUCGUGCGCGCCAGAGGACAUGGAACUUGAGGUGGAUGCCCCCCUUUUUGAGUAACAAAAGAAAAGCUUGAGAAUUCAGUUCCAAUUCCAACAAUUUUUUUUAUGGAUUUCUUUGGAAAGGAGUUGAGUUGACUUUAUCGUAUCAUUCUGGAUAUAAAUGUGUAACUACUUGCAUAGCAGAAAGCCUUGCACAGAAUGAAAUAUAGAACGAGAAGAAACAUAUAUGGAUGCCAUGUAUUUCAACUGUCUAACUUUCAUAUUAUAUAAUAUUGGCUAAUUAGGCAGGCCAAUCCAAGUAUGAACACAAGCAUGUCAAGCAUCUUUUUCAGAUAUGGAGGCUUAAACGUGUCACAUUAAACUCAAACUUCAGCAAAAGCACUUGCCAUCAAUGUCUGAGAUGAAGGUAGCUAUUCUAGCCCUAGUCCUUCACGGCUACUCAAAUUUUAAUUUCAAAUUGAAGGUUUUCUUCUCAAAGGAAGUGGGGGAAAGAGCUGCAUUUCUAUUUAUGAAGAUGUAGCAGUUACAACUGCAAGGGUGCUUAUGACAAUGAGAGGUUGACAGAAGAAUAGCAUCAGAAAUACAAUGAGGCUUGUUGCUUAGUGCUUGGUCUUUCCUACAAAUACUGGUGACAGCAUCAUCAAGUUGAUUUCUUGCAUCUUACAGCAGAAGAAUGUUUUCAUCUUACAGUCUGUGUUUCUUAAAAACAGAGUGUAUUAUGUAACUCAUUAUGUGAAGCAACAUUGGUUUCAUCCAA